rnacentral:rRNA from 1 species
CUGGGCGGAUUAGUGGCGAACGGGUGAGUAACACGUGAGUAACCUGCCCUUGACUUCGGGAUAACUCCGGGAAACCGGGGCUAAUACCGGAUAUGAGCCGUCCUCGCAUGGGGGUGGUUGGAAAGUUUUUCGGUCAGGGAUGGGCUCGCGGCCUAUCAGCUUGUUGGUGGGGUGAUGGCCUACCAAGGCGACGACGGGUAGCCGGCCUGAGAGGGCGACCGGCCACACUGGGACUGAGACACGGCCCACACUCCUACGGGAGGCAGCAGUGGGGAAUAUUGCACAAUGGGCGCAAGCCUGAUGCACCGACGCCGCGUGAGGGAUGAAGGCCUUCGGGUUGUAAACCUCUUUCAGCAGGGAAGAAGCGCAAGUGACGGUACCUGCAGAAGAAGCGCCGGCUAACUACGUGCCACCAGCCGCGGUAAUACGUAGGGCGCAAGCGUUGUCCGGAAUUAUUGGGCGUAAAGAGCUCGUAGGCGGUUUGUCGCGUCUGGUGUGAAAACUCGAGGCUCAACCUCGAG